rnacentral:rRNA from 1 species
CCUACGGGUGGCAGCAGUGGGGAAUAUUGGACAAUGGGCGAAAGCCUGAUCCAGCCAUGCCGCGUGUGUGAAGAAGGCCUUCGGGUUGUAAAGCACUUUCAGUGGGGAAGAAAGCCUUGGGGCUAAUACCCUCGAGGAAGGACAUCACCCACAGAAGAAGCACCGGCUAACUCCGUGCCAGCAGCCGCGGUAAUACGGAGGUUGCGAGCGUUAAUCGGAAUUACUGGGCGUAAAGCGCGCGUAGGCGGUCUGAUAAGCCGGUUGUGAAAGCCCCGGGCUCAACCUGGGAACGGCAUCCGGAACUGUCAGGCUAGAGUGCAGGAGAGGAAGGUAGAAUUCCCGGUGUAGCGGUGAAAUGCGUAGAGAUCGGGAGGAAUACCAGUGGCGAAGGCGGCCUUCUGGACUGACACUGACGCUGAGGUGCGAAAGCGUGGGUAGCAAACAGGAUUAGAUACCCUGGUAGUC